rnacentral:rRNA from 1 species
GAUGAACGCUGGCGGCGUGCUUAACACAUGCAAGUCGAACGAUGAAGCCCAGCUUGCUGGGUGGAUUAGUGGCGAACGGGUGAGUAACACGUGAGUAACCUGCCCUUAACUCUGGGAUAAGCCUGGGAAACUGGGUCUAAUACCGGAUAGGAGCGCCUACCGCAUGGUGGGUGUUGGAAAGAUUUAUCGGUUUUGGAUGGACUCGCGGCCUAUCAGCUUGUUGGUGAGGUAAUGGCUCACCAAGGCGACGACGGGUAGCCGGCCUGAGAGGGUGACCGGCCACACUGGGACUGAGACACGGCCCAGACUCCUACGGGAGGCAGAAGUGGGGAAUAUUGCACAAUGGGCGAAAGCCUGAUGCAGCGACGCCGCGUGAGGGAUGACGGCCUUCGGGUUGUAAACCUCUUUCAGUAGGGAAGAAGCGAAAGUGACGGUACCUGCAGAAGAAGCACCGGCUAACUACGUG